rnacentral:tRNA from 1 species
CGGGCCGUAGCAUAGUGGUAGUGUGUACGAUUCGGGUUCGUACGGUCUGGGUUCGAUUCCCGGCAGCCCGA